GAGAAAUAAUGGAGACUGAAGAAAAUAUUGUAAUUGUUGGUGCUGGUAUAGCUGGUCUUGCUACUUCUUUGGCCCUUCACAGAUUGGGGCUGCGGAGUAUUGUGUUGGAAUCAGCUGAUUCGUUGCGAGCUACUGGAUUUGCAUUGGCGUUGUGGACUAAUGCCUGGAGAGCUUUGGAUGCAUUGGACAUUGGGGACUCUCUUAGACAACGUUCUUUAUCCAUUACUGGGUUUAAAAGUUUCUCAGCGGAAUCAGGUGCACCUAUCACGGAGGUAUCAUUUGUGGGGAAUAACAGUGUGGAGUAUGAAAGUCGUUGUGUGAGAAGAAAAGAUCUGUUGGAGACAUUAGCUAAUGAACUGCCUCAAGGCGCUAUUAGAUAUUCUUCUAAGGUAGAUUCCGUUGAAGUAUCUGGACCAUUGAAAUUGGUACAUCUUGCAGAUGGUUGCACUAUUAGAACCAAGGCCUUAAUUGGGUGUGACGGAGUCAAUUCUGUGGUGGCAAACUGGCUUGGGCUUCAGAAACCUGUCUAUUCUGGGCGCUCUGCAAUUAGAGGCUUUGUUGAGUAUCCCGAAAAACAUGGUUAUCAGCCUAAGUUCCACGCAUAUUUUGGAGGUGGAGUUCGGUUUGGAUUUCUUCCUAGUGAUGAGAAGAGUUUAUACUGGUUUUGCACAUUCACACCAUCUGUUGUUCAUUGUAAGCCACCUCUUACAUACCGUUUCUUUUGAAGAUUUACUUUUUGAAGGAUAUUGGUGUUGGCUAGAGAGCUUAACUCUCUGAAGUGGGAGCCUUGACGUAAUUGGUAAAGUUACUGUCAUGUGACCUAGAGGUUACGGAUCCGAGCUGUAGAAACAGCCUCUUGCAGAAAUGCAGGUUAAGAUUGCAUACAUUAGUUCCCUGUGGUCCAGGCCUUCCCCCGAACCCUGUGCAUAGCAGGCGCUUAGUGCACCGAGCUGUCUAGAUAUCUUACAUCUCAUAAACUAGUCAUGUUUAGUUGUUCAUUUUAAUUGGGAUUUUAUGCAGUUGAUGGAAAUGCAGAACAAGAUCCAAUUAAAUUGAAGCAAUUCGUGUUGAACAAGGCCAGUAAUGUGUCUAAAGAACUCUCCACCGUUAUAGACAGAACAACUCUCGACUCUAUAUCUAUUGCUCAGCUGAAAUUGAGAGUACCAUGGAAUGUUCUGUUUGGGAAUAUUUUGAAAAAUAACGUCUGUGUGGUAGGUGAUGCACUUCAUCCCAUGACUCCUGAUCUUGGUCAAGGUGGAUGUUCUGCUUUAGAGGACAGUGUUGUUAUCGCAAAGUGCCUUGCAGAAGCCUUGAUAAAACCGAUAACAGAACAAGAAGACGAUGAAUCUAUGAGGAUUAGAAAAGGACUCGAGAAAUAUGCUAAAGAGAGGAGAUGGAGAAGUUUUACAUUUAUCAGUGCUGCUUAUUUAUCUGGUUUCAUACAAGAGACUGAUAACAAGAUAAUCAGUUUCUUAAGACAACAUUUUUUAGGUGGAGUUACUAUAUCAGUUACACUAAAAAUUGCUAACUUCGACUGCGGAAAACUAGCUGUUUCUUAGUAGCUCCAAUUGGAUCCUUUAGAGGCUAUGAAUAUCUUUUAUGGACUUUGUUUAAUAUCUAUCUAGCAUACAUGUUCCGGUUUAGUUGUGUCUAAAGAAUUGUAAGACCGAGUCGGAUCCUUAUUUUGCAAUAAUGAAAUUGUGUACUACAUCAAAGAUAUCCAAGAACAUCAGUUGUUUAGAAGCAAAUAUGGUAACAUCUGCAUUUU
rnacentral:misc_RNA from 1 species